rnacentral:lncRNA from 1 species
CUCUACUACUUUUCUAAUGUGUGAUAGGAAUAAUUAAGAUGAUUAAGUGGUAAUUGUUUCAAUUUUGUUGCCAGAAAGAUGACUUUGCCUCCAAAGAGAAAACAGCAAGCCAAGAGUGACAACAGGAUUAAAUGACAAACGACUUUGCCCUGGAAGAAGAUGGAGGAAAAUGGGCCCCUGCGGAGACUCUUUCCCCAGAUCUGUUCUAACCUUCAGAGUCAGGAAAGAGGUGUUGUUGUAGUUGUUCCUGUUGCUUCCAGAUCUCUUCAAUGGGUGACACGGGAGGAGAGGAGCCUUUGGGAACAGAAAGGCCGAUACUGACCUUCAGACCUGGGGAAGGAGAGGAAGAGUGGGAGGUAACCUGGCUUCUCCUGGAAAGGUCAUCUGUCUGCUGGGCUGUGACUGCAGAGACCUGCCUGGACAAGUGGGCCUGGGACAAGUGGGAAGUGUGUGAGAACUGUCGGGAGAAAGAGAAACGGUAGGAUGCGGGGAGAAGAGAGAACAUGUUGGGUGAUCAAAAGAUGCCCAAACAUUAAUACAGAAGAAUAAGAGCUUAAUCAUAA